GACGUAGGGGGCGAACGUUAUCCGGAAUUAUUGGGCGUAAAGGGUGCGUAGGUGGCCUGACAGGUUAUCAGUGGCAAAUCGAGGCUCAACCUCGUGGAAACUGGUAAUACUGUUCGGCUUGAGUACAGGAGAGGUUAACGGAACUCUAUGUGGAGCGGUAAAAUGCACAGAUAUAUAGAAGAACAUCAAUAAAGGCGAAGGCAGUUAACUAUUCUGUUACUGACGCUGAGGCACGAAAGCGUGGGGAGCAAAACGG
rnacentral:rRNA from 1 species